rnacentral:misc_RNA from 1 species
UCUCUCUCUCUCUCUCUCUUCCAGUCUCCUCUCGCUCUCUCUGUAACCCACCUUCGCUCUGCAAAACACAAUCUGUCCUUGCAAAACUACAAACUCUCUCUCUCCCUCCUCUUCAUGCGACAAGCUCAAUCAACAAGGCACAUCAGCGAACCCCAAAAUCCUUCAAGGAUCUAAGCAAAUUAGAAACCAAAAUUUGAACAAAUAAAGAACUAUGUAGGAGAGGGGAGAGAGUGGUUUUGUAGGGAGCUUGGUGCGUGUUCAUUAAUUGCCUAUGAUAUAGCCAUCUCCUAUGGUGACCUCGCUGCCAAUCUCCUCCCCAAAACCCAACCAGAAUUAAAUCAAGUUCAAGAUGAUCAAAUCAAGCCUAUCCUUAACUCUUUCAAUAUAUCAAGAUGGCCUUGUGCAUCUCAAAAUGGAUGAGGACCUCUUUCUGGAACCUCUAAAAAGAUUCUUCCAAUAUCCAAAUACCUGAUGUAAUCAUUUCAGAAUUUGAGAAUAAGAAGCUUUGGCUCCAGAAGGUUUCAAUAGAAACAAUCAAUGACGAUGUUGGGACCUCAUUUCAAUGGGAAGAAGAGAAAAAG